UUCUGCGCAGGCGGCGGGGGGCCCGGCCAGUGCGUCUCUCUCCCCCGGCCCCGCAGUGGUCCGGCCCAUCCCCCGCGCGUCCCCGCGGGACCUCGGCUCCACUCGCCCGGCGCCGCGGGAUGCACGCGGGGCUCCGGCUCUCCGCUGGGGGGCGCCGCACCGCUUCUCCUCUUCCGCUCGGCGUCCCGGGAGUGGAAGCGUCCGGGCAGGCUGACUCAGGGUGAGGCUCCUGAGGUCCAGAGACGACAAGCAACACGCCAAAGGUCACACAGUGGGUGAGUGUGACUCAGAAGUUUUCCUGGUUCCUGUCUUCCCAGUUUCUGUCUGAGGCACACUCAGAAGCCAGCUGCGCGCCCAGAAAUUUCCAUGUGAAAGACAGAGUCCUGGCAACACCAACUCGUGUCCUGGUACUUUCCCCAGGUCUUACUUAUAGAAACAUCCUGAAGGGAACCAGGAAAGGCCAGGCCACUGCAAAACCGGAAUUGCAAGGUAACGUGUGUGACAAAACACUGCAAGUUCCAGCACCUCCGCUAAUCAUGCUUCUAGGAUUAGCGCUCAUCUGUGCAUGUGCAACCCAUGUCUUGCCUACAAGAGCACUAAUUUCUCCUCCCUUUUUUUCACUU